rnacentral:rRNA from 1 species
CCUACGGGUGGCAGCAGUGGGGAAUAUUGCACAAUGGGGGGAACCCUGAUGCAGCGACGCCGCGUGGGUGAAGGAGUAUUUCGGUAUGUAAAGCCCUAUCAGCAGGGAAGAAAAUUGCCGGUACCUGCCUAAGAAGCACCGGAUAAGUACGUGCCAGCAGCCGCGGUAAUACGUAUGGUGCAAGCGUUAUCCGGAUUUACUGGGUGUAAAGGGAGCGAAGGGGGCGCGGUAAGCCUGGUGUGAAAUCCCGGGGCCGAACCGCGGAACUGCAUUGGGAACUGGCGCGCUGGAGUGCCGGAGGGGUAAGCGGAAUGCCUAGGGUAGCGGUGAAAUGCGUAGAUAUUAGGAGGAACACCAGUGGCGAAGGCGGCCUACUGGACGGUGACUGACGCUGAGGCUCGAAAGCGUGGGGAGCAAACAGGAUUAGAUACCCUUGUAGUC